rnacentral:rRNA from 1 species
GAUGAACGCUGGCGGCGUGCUUAACACAUGCCAGUCGAACGGUGAAGGCGGAGCUUGCUCUGCUGGAUCAGUGGCGAACGGGUGAGUAACACGUGAGCAAUCUGCCCCUGACUCUGGGAUAAGCGCUGGAAACGGCGUCUAAUACUGGAUACGAGCUGCGAAGGCAUCUUCAGCAGCUGGAAAGAAUUUCGGUCAGGGAUGAGCUCGCGGCCUAUCAGCUUGUUGGUGAGGUAAUGGCUCACCAAGGCGUCGACGGGUAGCCGGCCUGAGAGGGUGACCGGCCACACUGGGACUGAGACACGGCCCAGACUCCUACGGGAGGCAGCAGUGGGGAAUAUUGCACAAUGGGCGGAAGCCUGAUGCAGCAACGCCGCGUGAGGGACGACGGCCUUCGGGUUGUAAACCUCUUUUAGCAGGGAAGAAGCGAAAGUGACGGUACCUGCAGAAAAAGCGCCGGCUAACUACGUG